rnacentral:rRNA from 1 species
UUAUCCGGAUUUAUUGGGUUUAAAGGGAGCGUAGGCGGACUGUUAAGUCAGCGGUUAAAGAGUGUGGCUCAACCAUACGAUGCCGUUGAAACUGGUGGUCUUGAGUGCACACAGGGAUGCUGGAACUCGUGGUGUAGCGGUGAAAUGCUUAGAUAUCACGAUGAACUCCGAUCGCGAAGGCAGGUGUCCGGGGUGUAACUGACGCUGAGGCUCGAAAGUGUGGGUAUCAAACAGGAUUAGAUACCCUGGUAGUCCACACAGUAAACGAUGAAUACUCGCAGUUUGCGAUACAAUGUAAGCUGCCAAGCGAAAGCAUUAAGUAUUCCACCUGGGGAGUACGCCGGCAACGGUGAAACUCAAAGGAAUUGACGGGGGCCCGCACAAGCGGAGGAACAUGUGGUUUAAUUCGAUGAUACGCGAGGAACCUUACCCGGGCUUGAAC